UAUACCCCGAGAACCAAAGCCAGCAGCAGAGGGAUGGGAGGCAUUUGGCCCAAACCCUUUUCUGCAAGGAAUCCUGCAAAAUUCCCUCUUUGGUGGAUUUGUGGAAACCCUCACCCCACAUCCCCAGGAAGUGAAACCAGCCCCUGGUGAGGAGAGAACAACAAUGAAAGGAGGAUGAACGUUCCCAAGUGCUUCCCAAAACCCCGAAUCUGCAGUGCAGCUCUGCAGCUCUGCCUGGAACAGAUGGAAUUCUUCCUUCCCUGUCUCUCUCUGGAGAUGAGAAAUUGCCGUGUUGGUUCGCUAAAUGGUGAGCGCUGGGUGAUGGGAGAUGGAGAUGUGCACUGCGAAAAAAUGAACUGAGAUGGGGAGGCUGUGCUAAAGAAAUGAGUUUGAAGGAAAAAAUUAAGUCUCCAGUGAAAAACAAAAUUAGA